rnacentral:tRNA from 1 species
GGACGAUUAGCUCAGCUGGUUAGAGCGCGGCAUUCACAUUGCCGAGGUCGGAGGUUCGAUCCCUCCAUCGUCCACCA